rnacentral:rRNA from 1 species
GUGAAAUGCCCGGGCUUAACCUUGGAACUGCAUUGGUGACUGCAUGGCUAGGGGUGUGGUCANNGGGGGGUAGANUCCACGGUGUAGCAGUGGAAAUGCGGUAGGGAUGGUGGAGGAAUACCGAUGGCGAAGGCAGCCCCUGGGAUAACACUGACGCUCAUGCACGAAAGCGUGGGGAGCAAACAGGAUUAGAUACCUGGUAGUCCACGCCCUAAACGAUGUCAACUAGUUGUCGGGUCUUAAUUGACUUGGUAACGCAGCUAACGCGUGAAGUUGACCGCCUGGGGAGUACGGUCGCAAGAUUAAAACUCAAAGGAAUUGACGGGGACCCGCACAAGCGGUGGAUGAUGUGGAUUAAUUCGAUGCAACGCGAAAAACCUUACCUACCCUUGACAUGGUUGGAAUUCUUCAGAGAUGAGGAAGUGCUCGAAAGAGAGCCAAUACACAGGUGCUGCAUGGCUGUCGUCAGCUCGUGUCGUGAGAUGUUGGGUUAAGUCCCGCAACGAGCGCAACCCUUGUCAUUAGUUGCUACGAAAGGGCACUCUAAUGAGACUGCCGGUGACAAACCGGAGGAAGGUGGGGAUGACGUCAAGUCCUCAUGGCCCUUAUGGGUAGGGCUUCACACGUCAUACAAUGGUACAUACAGAGGGUCGCCAACCCGCGAGGGGGAGCUAAUCCCAGAAAGUGUAUCGUAGUCCGGAUUGUAGUCUGCAACUCGACUACAUGAAGUUGGAAUCGCUAGUAAUCGCGGAUCAGCAUGUCGCGGUGAAUACGUUCCCGGGUCUUGUACACACCGCCCGUCACACCAUGGGAGCGGGUUUUACCAGAAGUAGGUAGCUUAACCGCAAGGAGGGCGCUUACCACGGUAGGAUUCGUGACUGGGGUGAAGUCGUAACAAGGUA